CGUAAUGUAGCUUAACUAAAGCAUCUCGCUUACACCGAGAAAAUGUCCGUGAAAAUCGAACCAUUCCGA
rnacentral:tRNA from 1 species